rnacentral:rRNA from 1 species
AUUGAACGCUGGCGGCAUGCCUUACACAUGCAAGUCGAACGGCAGCACGGGUGCUUGCACCUGGUGGCGAGUGGCGAACGGGUGAGUAAUACAUCGGAACGUACCUUAUCGUGGGGGAUAACGCAGCGAAAGCUGUGCUAAUACCGCAUACGCCCUGAGGGGGAAAGCGGGGGAUCGAAAGACCUCGCGCGAUUAGAGCGGCCGAUGCCUGAUUAGCUUGUUGGUGGGGUAAAAGCCCACCAAGGCGACGAUCAGUAGCUGGUCUGAGAGGACUAUCAGCCACACUGGGACUGAGAAACGGCCCAGACUCCUACGGGGGGCAGCAGUGGGGAAUUUUGGACAAUGGGGGCAACCCUGAUCCAGCAAUGCCGCGUGAGUGAAGAAGGCCUUCGGGUUGUAAAGCUCUUUUGUCAGGGAAGAAACACCGGCUCUAACACAGUCCGGGAAUGACGGUACCUGAAGAAUAAGCACCGGCUAACUACGUGCCAGCCGCCGCAGUAA